UGGGGAAUUUUGGACAAUGGGCGAAAGCCUGAUCCAGCCAUGCCGCGUGAGUGAAGAAGGCCUUCGGGUUGUAAAGCUCUUUUAGUCGGAAAGAAAGAGUUGCAAUGAAUAAUUGUGAUUUAUGACGGUACCGACAGAAAAAGCACCGGCUAACUACGUGCCAGCAGCCGCGGUAAUACGUAGGGUGCGAGCGUUAAUCGGAAUUACUGGGCGUAAAGGGUGCGCAGGCGGUCUUGCAAGUCAGAUGUGAAAGCCCCGGGCUUAACCUGGGAAUUGCGUUUGAAACUACAAGACUAGAGUGCAGCAGAGGGGAGUGGAAUUCCAUGUGUAGCAGUGAAAUGCGUAGAGAUGUGGAAGAACACCGAUGGCGAAGGCAGCUCCCUGGGUUGACACUGGCGCUCAUGCACGAAAGCGUGGGGAGCAAACA
rnacentral:rRNA from 1 species